UUUGUGCGUUCUACGUGGUCAGUCAUCCAAAUAGCGUCAAAUUUGUAUCCGCCCACAAGUGUUGCCAAUAUUUUUGGUCAUUGGCUGGACGGUGUUUCAAAUAGGUACAAAACAUAAAUAAGGGUGGAAGCAUAUGCCUUACUAUGGUCGCUUUGGCUAUGUAGAAAUGAUGUUGUUUUUAAUGACAAAAAUGCUUCUCCUUUGCAGGUUAUUUUUCGUUGUACGCACUCGCUUCGUAUGUGGUGUACACUACAAUGA
rnacentral:rRNA from 1 species